CAACACCAAGGAAGUCGUUCUUUCCUCCCAACCAGCUUGACGUUGAAAUGACAAGCUUCUUUUUCCCUCCAAAGCUGUAUGUAUUGUAAUUGUUCAUCAGGUGAACAAGUAUAACAUCGUCUGCAUCCAAAUCUUCUUCAAUUCUACCAUACAGCUUUCGGAAGCUAGGAAGGGCAGCAGUACGCAUCCAUACAAUAAGAUCCUCUUGAUCACCUAGAGGGACAUUAGGAUCUAGCUUUCCACCACCAAUCAAGGUCCCACUCUGGAAAUUGAAGGGAUAUACAUGCUUCCCAAAUUUGUGG
rnacentral:misc_RNA from 1 species